GACGAACGCUGGCGGCGUGCUUAACACAUGCAAGUCGAACGGAAAGGCGCUGCUUUUGUUGGUUGCACGAGUGGCGAACGGGUGAGUAACACGUGAGUAACCUGCCCUUGUCUUUGGGAUAACUCCAGGAAACUGGGGCUAAUACCGGAUAGAAGCUCUUGAUGCAUGGGGGGGGUUGGAAAAUUUCGGCGGUGGGGGCUGGACUCGCAGGUUACCAGCUGCUUGGUGGGGUAGUGGCUUACCAAGGCUUUGACGGGUAGGCGGCCUGGGAGGGGGACCGGGCACAUUGGUACUGAGGGACGGCCCAGUCUCCUACGGGCGGCAGUAGGGGGGAACAUUACGCAGUGGGCCGAAGCGUGAGGCAGCAACCCCGCGUUCGUAAUGACGGCCUUUGGGGUGUAAACCGCUUUCGCCUGUGACGAAGCGUGAGUGACGGUAAUGGGUAAAGAAGCACCGGCUAACUACGUG
rnacentral:rRNA from 1 species